rnacentral:rRNA from 1 species
UACGAAGGGUGCAAGCGUUACUCGGAAUUACUGGGCGUAAAGCGUGCGUAGGUGGUGAGUUAAGUCUGUCGUGAAAGCCCCGGGCUCAACCUGGGAAUGGCGAUGGAGACUGCAAGGCUUGAAUCUGGCAGAGGGGGGUAGAAUUCCACGUGUAGCAGUGAAAUGCGUAGAGAUGUGGAGGAACACCGAUGGCGAAGGCAGCCCCCUGGGUCAAGAUUGACGCUCAUGCACGAAAGCGUGGGGAGCAAACAGG